rnacentral:snoRNA from 1 species
AAAGCAGGUUGCAAUUACAGGGUUUCAUUCUGUGGGAGCUCUGUCAUAUGCCUGCUGAGAGCAAUUCUGCUGCCUAGGAUUUGAUGGCUCCUCCACUGGAGUGAAAUCAGUUUCCUUGGGACAGUCACAA